UACGUAGGGUGCAGGCGUUAAUCGGAAUUACUGGGCGUAAAGCGUGCGCAGGCGGCCUCUUAAGGCAGAUGUGAAAUCCCCGGGCUUAACCUGGGAACUGCGUUUGAAACUGGGAGGCUAGAGUGUGGAAGAGGGGGGUGGAAUUCCAGGUGUAGCAGUGAAAUGCGUAGAGAUCUGGAGGAACACCGGUGGCGAAGGCAGCCCCCUGGGCUGACACUGACGCUCAUGCACGAAAGCGUGGGGAGCAAACAGG
rnacentral:rRNA from 1 species